GUUCAGGACGAGCCUCCAGAUGGACCCAUAUAUGGUGAUGUAUCUGUAGGUGACUAAUGCAGAUAAAGGGAGAAAUAAUAAGGAAAAACACCUUAACAGUAUCUACACCACCCGCGCUCAUGUGUAGAUUAUCCACUUAAUAAUACAGAACAAUGCCGGUCCGGAAGGGUGUGCUGUCACUUGGCAGUUUGUGUAUUGAAAAGAUUACGCAGAUGUUAAUUAAAAUUGUAAAUAUAAGCCAACCUAAGUCUAAGAAGCAGAGCUGUCAGUACACACUGACUGAAGACCAAAAACACAACAUUCAUACAGGAACUCAAGAACCAGUGAACACUGAGGUAGAUGAGGGCUUCGACCACCACCACCACUCACAACAAGAGGAGACACACAGUUAUGGCAAUGGUGCUCAAAAUGCCCAUGACCAAGUCAGUAGAAAUGGAGAGUCCCAUGACCAAGUCAGUGGAAAUGGAGAUGCCCAUGACCAAGUCAACAAUACUGAAGAGGCCCAUGACCAAGUCAACAAUAGUGAAGAGGCCCAUGACCAGGUCAGUAGUAAUGAAGAGGCCCAUGACCAAGUCAACAAUAGUGAAGAGGCCCAUGACCAGGUCAGUAGUAAUGAAGAGGCCCAUGACCAAGUCAACAAUAGUGAAGAGGCCCAUGACCAGGUCAGUAGUAAUGAAGAGGCUCAUGAUCAAAUCAGCAGUACUGAAAAUAUACACGACCCAACCAUAAAGUUGAAGAUUAGUGGUAGUAACCAUGAGGUUGAUAAGCUAGAUGAGCCAAAGCUUGAUACAACUAAGGUGGAGGAUACCAAGGAAGAAUCAUUGGAAAGUAACAGUUAUAAACUGGAGAAGAAAGAUACAGUCCAGGAAAACAUUGACAGGGAAAUACAGUAUAAAAAAGAACUUGAGGCUGUAAGACAAGAACUGUGCAGGCUUUUAACGUCACACUCUCAUGUCACACUCCAUCGUCUGCUCUUUGAUUCAAUAAUGACUCAAUUAGAUCCUAUUUACAUGCGUGACAGAAAGGUCCGGCCUGCUGCUCAGGAUAUUAUUAUUCAUUUCAUCAAUUCAACUCUCAGAGAUCUGGAUUUUGGGAGAGUAAAGAUGUUUUCUGAGGCUGAGAUGUGCAAGGUUUUGUAUGAGAAUCUACAUAAAGCUACACGACUGGAGAAACUGGUGAUUGGUCGGUCGUGUUACUGGAGAUCACAGAUCUUUGAGAAAAUGAGCGAGAAGUUGGUUUGUAUGCCACAUCUAACAGUCUUAAAAAUUCAGUACAUAGCAACACCUGAGAUGAUUCAUGGCCUCUCAAAAACCUGCUCUAAGCUUUAUGAGUUGUCACUGGCAGGCUCAGAGAAUAUUACUGACCAACAGUGUGAUGAAAUUGCCAAAUGUGCUGGACUAACAUUGCUGGAUAUUUCUGGAACAAGAAUUACUGGAAGAGGAUGUUGGAAAAUUCUAGAUGCCAUAAAAAGUCUGUCUUGGCUUCGUCAUUGUGCUUUCAAUUGUAAUUCAGAUGCACUUCUGUUUGAAUCAAGAGCAGACUUAUUUAACUGUAUUAAAGAACAGUUGCGGCGCGGAGAAAAUGCCAUAUCUUUGGUGGAUCGGCCGGACCUUAGUCUCAGAGAUGCCAGAUUCAACCUGAAGAACUUCUGGCUCUUCAAUCCCUUCACUGAAGACUUACUGACCUCACUGCUCUGUCCUGAUUUGGAGAGCCUUCGUCUAGAUUUUGUCUUCCAGGAUUUAGAAGGAGAGCCGGACUUGACGAUCCUCUCCUCACUCACCCAGAUCAGGAACUUGGAGGCAAACUUGUACGACCGAUGUUCUAUUGACUUAGUUGGUCGUAUGGUAGAAGGCUGUGGAAAACGACUAACGACCUUGGAACUGCACCUGGCUGAUGACUGGUUCUUUGUUGCACAAGCUCACAAUAUUGUAGCCACCUGUUGCCCAAACCUGGUAACUCUCACCUUCUCUGGAGACUACAAGACGGAAGCAGAACGACCAGAUCGGGCUCGACACAGUUUGGAGGAAUGUGAUGAUCGACUAGACUUUGGGAUUCCCACCCCUGCCCACCCUCACUUAAAACACCUCAAACUGAUUGGGGUCGUGAGUGACCAGCGUCUCAACUUUAUUCUGAAUCACACACCGGCACUUCACACCCUUCGUAUGGACGGAGAACUAGAGUGGCUGCAUGAUGUUACCUUUGCUACUGUUUUAGAGACAAAUCCUUUACCAAAUUUAGAGGAGCCGGAUACUGUUCACCAUUGAUGGAGAAAUAUUCCCCAAAAAACUGCUCAUGUGUUGAAUGUAUCAAAAAGUGGACAAUUGGUAGAGUUUGGCAACCCAAGUUAUGGGAGCUACCUGUCCCCUCCCCCCAUCAGAAAGAGUGAGUCGCCAACUGAUUCCAGUGAGAGACAAGGGCUGCGUAGCCUCCACCACAACUGCCGUUGUGAUGCCUGCACACGCCAGCCAUGAUGCAACAUCUGGCCCUCAGGCUUUAAUUCCCUUGUUGCUGUAGGUGAUGGGGGGGUAGGCAUGGGGAUGAAGCCAAGACUGUGGCUUUAAAGCUGAAGCCAUUGGAAUGUCAUGGAGCCAAAGCAAAGGUUUAUCAAGGCUUCGUGAAACCUUAACACCAUAAUUUUAUAAUAAACUGUAUUACCUUAUGUUGAUGGGAAUAUGUAUGGUAUUCUCAGUUACAUCAAGGCUUUGAGAUAAGCUGAUUGUUUUGGGGGUAAGUUUUGACUCUCCCUAUAACCUGAAAAAGGUUACUAAUAGUAACAAUUUAUCUUACUAAAUUUAUUUUUAUAUACAAUACUGUACAUAAACAGUAAUUUAGAGUAAAAAAAAUCACAGAGAAGCAUUGGAACAAAUCAUCAUAAUAUAUUCAAAGGUAUCUUACUAUCUUUGAUCUCUUCCAAUGCUUAGGUCAGGUCCUUGUGAGAAUAGACCAGUAGGGAUAACUUGUGAUAUCAGUGUGCGUUUCAGUUCAUAUAAGGUAAAAUCAAGGUCACAUGGCCAACUCAUAUUUCACCUGACCUCACCCUAAGUUUACCCUCCUCGGCACUGCCUGAGGUGGAGAUUCUGAUCUGAUUGAUCCAUGACAAUACGUUCUCGUGUUGGCACUGGUCACUGACAUGCUGGUCAGUAAUUUCGGUGCCAACACAACAACCCAUGUCACUUGUCAAGUCAGGUCAAAACUGUGCCCCCUUGGAUCUACCACUAAUUUGAUAUAUUUAAUAUGAUCUUCUUAAAAUUACAGGUAAAUAAUAUGAUCAAUGUGUCUGUGUAAAGAUGAGAAUCUGAAGCCAGACCCCUGGCUUUGAAGUUGAAGCCUUUAGAAAGUUUUCAAAGCAAGUCUAAAAGCAUAGCUUCCAGAAGCUGAAUUAGAAGCUGGCUUGCCCUAUAUCUAAGGAGG
rnacentral:misc_RNA from 1 species